UACGUAGGGGGCAAGCGUUAUCCGGAUUUACUGGGUGUAAAGGGAGCGUAGACGGCUGCGCAAGCCAGAUGUGAAAGCCCGGGGCUCAACCCCGGGACUGCAUUUGGAACUGCGUGGCUUGAGUGUCGGAGAGGCAGGCGGAAUUCCUAGUGUAGCGGUGAAAUGCGUAGAUAUUAGGAGGAACACCAGUGGCGAAGGCGGCCUGCUGGACGAUGACUGACGUUGAGGCUCGAAAGCGUGGGGAGCAAACAGG
rnacentral:rRNA from 1 species